UGAAGGGCUUUCAUGAUGGGCA
rnacentral:miRNA from 1 species